rnacentral:rRNA from 1 species
UACGUAGGGUGCGAGCGUUAAUCGGAAUUACUGGGCGUAAAGUGUGCGCAGGCGGCCGAGCAAGUCGAGUGUGAAAGCCCCGGGCUUAACUUGGGAAUUGCGCUCGAAACUACUUGGCUGGAGUGUGGCAGAGGGGGGUGGAAUUCCACGUGUAGCGGUGAAAUGCGUAGAGAUGUGGAGGAACACCAAUGGCGAAGGCAGCCCCCUGGGCCAACACUGACGCUCAUGCACGAAAGCGUGGGGAGCAAACGGG